GAGAGUAAUCCAAACUACUGUGCUAGUAUUAAUAAAUUAGAGUAAAUUAUGAAUGUCAUGUGCUUGUAAAAUGCUUUAAGCAUGGGCCCUGAAGCUGUAAACAAUGUACUUAAAUUUGAGGAAGAUGGUGAUACAAUUUGUGUUUCAAACCCAGGGAAAUACAGUCGAUAGCCCAGCCUCUAGGAGGUGUGACACCAGCGUUUGUUAAGAUGCUGCUCAGGAAAUGACCUUUUGACAGGAGUAGAUGGUUUUCAAUACAGGUACUGGGAUCCCCGAGAAAAGUGAAGUUCCUGGACCAGAUUUGCUCUCAGUCAAGCCAGGUGCAAUGAAGAGAGUGAAUCACUUUGUUACCCAGGAGUCUCCGUGGUGAGAGAAGCAGCUCCAUCCCUUCACCAAGGGACAGCUGGCCCCUCUGACCAUGCACAGCCCCAGUGUCAUUGACUGCAAGUCACCGCUUUUAACUCGAUUAAAUGCCUGUUGUGCUGAACAAACAGAUGAUGUGCAUCAGCAGUAAAGGCAGCCCAGUGACCUGGGUUGAAGUUCAGAGGAGUAGUUAAUACUGAGAUACUCUCAACAGUCUGAUCAUUGGUCUCUAUUAGGUAUUUAUCUGUCUCCUGGUUUCUUGUCUAUGAUGCACAAGGCAGGUGUUUAAGUUAAGGUUUGUGUGAUCAAUUCCAAAUGCAUGAUAUUUGACUUAAUUAGGAGAAAACCCUAAAUUAUGCCAAAGCUAAUCCAUACCUAACGCUCAGAUACUUGAUUACCAUGUCACUAAUUCUGCUAUUCUUGCUCUUGUGAUGGGGCUGCCUUUAUGACUUCUAUGAGCUCAGAUACUAAGAGAUUUCACCGAGGUCUUUUAUCUCAGUGUGAAUGAGAGGGCACUUAACAGAGCUGAGUAUCUGCAUGAGCUGGUGAGGCUCUUCUGACAGAGCUCCUCUGACGAGCAGCGUGGUGCAGACAUCCUGAACUGAUGCUGUAACAAGAGAAUUGUGCCCGAAUCCCCUAGGAAUUGGAUGGCUAUGAAAAGUGAUGUUCCCUCUCCAAGAGAACUUUAUAGCCUUAAGGCAGUCCUUCAUUUGUGGCAAAAGUGGAGUCUUUAACAUGGGAUCCAUUGGUUUUACAACCAACCAACCUGCUGCCCCAUGUGGAUUUAAUUGUGCUGUAAACUGUUGUGAAUUAGAUCACAUGCAGCAUCAGAGGCUUGCAGGUGGAGCUGCUCCUGGUGUGUUUAAGCCUGAUGUCAAAGGCCCUCAUCCAUAGUCCCUCUCCGGGUCUCUUGGAGCCCCUUUAGGUGCUGGAAGGACUCUGAGGUCUCCCUGGAGCCUUCCUUUGUCAGGCUGAGCACUCAGCUCCCUCAGCCUGGCUCCAGAGCACAGCUCCAGCCCUCAUAGCACCCUGAUGGCAUCAUCUGGACUCGCUCCAACAGAUCCACAUCCCUCUCACGUGGGAGCCCCAGAGCUGGAUGCAGCACUGCAGGUGGGGUCUCACACGAGUGGAGGAGAGAGGGAGAACCACCUCCACCAUCCUGCUGGUCAUGCUGCUCUUGAUGCAGCCCAGGACAAGGUCAGAGCUCUGGGCUGCAAACACACGUUGCCAGCUCAUGUUGAACUUCUUGUCAACCAACACCCGCAAAUCUCUCUCCUGGAUUACUUCUUCCUAAUAAAUGCUGUUCUUUAUAGCACUUCAAAGAGGCACAGAAAAAUAAGCAAUAAUUGGAAAUCUCACAUGUUAGUGUUGGAUGUGCUGGUUAAUGCCAUGAAAGUAAGAUAAUAUGCUGUGAUGGAGGAAAAACGCAGUCCACUCACAUUUUCCUGUUCUGUGGAGAGAUCAACACCCUAGUUAGGGAUUCUCAGUAAAUAGCUCAUAAUGUGACCAAACUAGCAACAGCUAAGUAUGCACUGGGACUUUUUCUCCAUGGAUGUACAUGUGGAAUUUGAAGCACUGCUCCACGACUCAGAGGUUUUUUCCUAACUGGAAAUAAUUGUCACAAAAAUAAUUCAUGUUCACUACCUGGAGGUUAGGCUUCAUUCUAUUAUACUGCAUAGCUCUAAAGGACACCUUUGCAAUGUCUCUGAUGCUUGAUCUCAGUUUUGAUUCUCAAUCAGCUCAUGCCUAGAAUGAAAAUGUUUAAAAAAUCUGAUAUAACUAUAAAUGAGUUACUUAUAAUAACAUAUUAAUUUUUAAAAUGGUGUCAUGCCAUGAACUGUUGGCUAAUUUCUGGACCUGAUUCAGUUGGCAUAGAGUUGAGAUGGAGAUGAAUACACUCCCUGGCUGGAAGGUUAGCAUGUUAAUUUUUUGGGUCAGCCAAGUUACUUUUCUCGCUGCAAAAGGGAUAAGAUAUGUGAGUAAUUGUAAUAGGAGCGUGACUGCAUAAAUUCAUAUUUUAUAAUAGAUUCCACUUUCCAAACCCUGAUUCAAUUCUUUGUAGCUUUCUAAAACUUCUCCAACUCCCUUUUACCAAAAGUCAUCUCUGCCAAAAAAUGAAUUAUUUCAAUAGCUCACAGAUUUGGGGGGAAUAUGACAAUUUGUACCUCUGGUUUGUUUUUCCCCUGUUCUUUUUAUAACAGCACCGUUAGCACCAAACCCUGCCGUUCU